UACGGAGGGUGUAAACGUUGUUCGGAAUCAUUGGGCGUAAAGCGCACGCAGGCGGUUCGUCAGGUCGGGUGUGAAAUCCCAGGGCUCAACCCUGGCACUGCGCUCGAAACCGGCGGACUAGAAUUCAGCAGGGGAAGGUGGAAUUCCUGGUGUAGGGGUGAAAUCCGUAGAUAUCAGGAGGAAUACCAAUGGCGAAGGCAGCCUUCUGGGCUUGAAUUGACGCUGAGGUGCGAAAGCGUGGGGAGCAAACAGG
rnacentral:rRNA from 1 species